GUAGUUUAUCUGCUCUUGUUUACAAUCGCAGACUCUUGAUAAGUAUCUGAUUGAUUAAUAUUAUAGUUUCAUUUCAGUUCUAGCAUGCAAAUUUUGAGUUUUUUGCUCUUGUAAUUCUUGUCUCUCCAAUUUUGAGUUUUCUGGGUAGAUUGUAACUAUUGCAUUUGUUUAAAGGUUGAUCUUAAUUCCAAGGCUCUGUUAUUUGCCAUAGAACUUGUAUUUGUUCUGUUGCAGUAAUUGAAUUCUUGAUUAUGGUCUUAUUAGCUUCUACUUAUUUACUUCUUGCAGGGGGAGCCAAAGUUGUGAACUUG
rnacentral:misc_RNA from 1 species